UACGAGGGGGGCGAGCGUUGUUCGGAAUUAUUGGGCGUAAAGGGUGCGUAGGCGGCCUGACAAGUCUGAUGUGAAAUCCCUGGGCUCAACCCAGGGCCUGCAUCGGAAACUGUCGGGCUUGAGUAUGGGAGAGGUGAGUGGAAUUUCCGGUGUAGCGGUGAAAUGCGUAGAUAUCGGAAGGAACACCUGUGGCGAAAGCGGCUCACUGGACCAUUACUGACGCUGAGGCAGAAGA
rnacentral:rRNA from 1 species